rfam:Dipodomys ordii contig_12757, whole genome shotgun sequence.
GGUGGCUCAGUGGUAGAGUGCUUGCCUUGCAUGCAUAGAGGCCCUGGGUUCAAUUCCUCAGCACCA